AACGCGAAUUCCGUCACUAAAAUGGAAACAAACGAUUGGCUUCUAUUCGAAACCAAUCAACCAUUUUCUCACACGUCAUUAGAUUGCGACUCAAUCACGUUGAGGACAACACGCUUGACAGUACCGAAUGUAAAAUAUUUUCGUAGCAAUUUUCCUCAAUGUUUCAACAGAAUACAAUCCGGGUUACGAUUCGUAUAUUUUGGCAUACAAGUUAUACUUUGUCGAGAUCAUGGACUCAGUUAUCAAGGACAAGACGCGUACAACCGCUUGCAUCAGAGACCAGUCAAUGGUCAUUUUUACAGUCAGGACACAGCAGUGGUCCGACUUUGCCAGUUGCUUUCAGGCAGUAUCGAAGAGACGUACCUUUACAUAACCAAUUCUCUACCACAACACACGUCUGCAGCGAUUCUAUUGGGAAGAUUCAUUCAACGCAUUACCACCUGGUUUACACAUGCAAGGUAUGCUCAACCAGGUCAACGAAGAGGAUAUCCAAGGUAGCCUAUCAUAAAGGUGUUGUCCUAGUGACCUGCCCAGGAUGUGAAAAACAUCACAUUAUUGCUGACAACUUGGGUUGGUUCUCUGAUCUGAAGGGAAAGAGUCCUGCCACAAAAGGACCAGUUGACAUGUCAGUGAUUCUCUCGUUAACACGGGUGGGAGUGUUGACGAGGACAAGGCUGGCGAUCACUCUGUCGUGCUGAUUGAGUUCGAAUAACAGACUGGAAGCUUC